GAUGAACGCUAGCUACAGGCUUAACACAUGCAAGUCGCAGGGUAACAUGAGGAAAGCUUGCUUUCCUUGAUGACGACUGGCGCACGGGUGAGUAACGCGUAUCCAACCUUCCCAUAACUACGGGAUAACCCGUUGAAAGACGGCCUAAUACCGUAUGAUAUCGUUUGCUGACAUCAAAUAACGAUUAAAGGUUUAGCGGUUAUGGAUGGGGAUGCGUCUGAUUAGCUUGUUGGCGGGGUAACGGCCCACCAAGGCGACGAUCAGUAGGGGUUCUGAGAGGAAGGUACCCCACAUUGGAACUGAGACACGGUCCAAACUCCUACGGGAGGCAGCAGUGAGGAAUAUUGGGCGAUGGGCGAGGGCCUGAACCAGCCAAGUAGCGUGCAGGACGACGGCCCUAUGGGUUGUAAACUGCUUUUAUGUGGGGAUAAAGUGCGUGACGUGUCAUGCAUUGCAGGUACCACAUGAAUAAGGACCGGCUAAUUCCGUG
rnacentral:rRNA from 1 species